rnacentral:tRNA from 1 species
GGCACUCUGGCCGAGUGGUCUAAGGCGCCAGGGUAAGGUCACCUUACCAUACAUUCCUGGUCUCUUCGGAGGCACGAGUUCGAACCUCGUGGGUGUCA